AAGGCUUAUUAAACAUGUUUAACACGGUGAUUUUCCCCCAGCAGGCACGAGGAGGAGAUGGGCGUUGAUGGAACAAACAGACGCGAAAGUCCACAUCCAAACGUCCCUCGUUCCAAAUCGCUGUUUUAUCCUUCCACAUACAAACUGAAUUUACAUUCCGCGAUUCCAGUCGGUGAUUUUUACACUUCUCAAGUUGCUUUCUCUUUUACAUGUGUAAAUAACAUGGUGGAAAGCAGAGAGUCCCGUGCGUAACCGAGUGUAACCGAAGAAGCGGCGCGCCGCGCGAAGACGCACAACACAGAUGCGAUCAAAUGAGUUCACGGAGUUCUCUCUUUGUCCCACAGCACAAUAAUCCUUCACCAGGACGUCCUGAAGUUGACUGGAACGCUGGAGGAACUGGUUCAAAGAUUGCAGGUCAAGUCUCAAACACUGAACAGAAGUACUGCAAGUCUCUGAAAUGACCUCCUGAUGGUUUUUAUAUUUAUAUAAGGUCACGUCCCGCGCCAGCUUCGGAUGAAGAGUGGCCCAAACAGAAGGACACAGCUUCAGUUAGGCUCACUUUACAAGGCUGUCAAAGACGCCAGCACCAGCUGCGAGAGAGAGAAGCCCUGAAACGAGCACGUGGAGCUGGCUGGAAUGCUCUAAAAGGCUUCAGAUAUAAGACAGUCAACAGCUACGAGAUGGUGGCAUCCGCCAUUUUGUGAUGUGCUUGGCCUCAGAGAGGUGAAGUAUAUUUGCUGAGCGUCUGAGUCCACCUUGACCCGCAGCCCACGCCAGCGCAACGCAAGGCCAAAAACCUUCUGGAUUUGCCAUUUGGAAGUAUUGACCUGCGACUUUCCCGUUCCCAAUGUAUUCGGACAGGGGAUUCCGGAGUGAAGCUGCUCCGCUCUGGGACAAGUGCCAAUUGCUCACAAAAGGCGAGUGAAAAUAUCACUGAUCUCAACAAGGAAACGUCGGGGGUGAGUGGAAAACACAAAUUUGCAUGCGUCCGUGCAACUAACACAGAAAAAAGUGAAGGAUGGUUGCAAGGGGAGGGGAAGACAGAGAAAAAGAGGAUUGUAAAAGAGGAGGUGGGGGCGUUUAUUCAAUCCUGCUUGAUGCUCCUCGGGCCUUCGAGAGCCGAUUGCAUGUGCUGUGGUAACUGCGGGACCAUUUGCAUGUGGCAGACACGCUAAUUGUGUGUUUGCUAACACGCACCAUUCAGUGAGACGCGCUCCGGUCCGCAGACGGGGUUCACACACGCCUCCCAGACGCCCUGGUGGCCUCCUAUUGUUCCAGAGGCCCAGCCGAGCAGCCGGAGAGCCUAACCAGAGCCCAGCGCUGUCCUGACGAGAGGGGAAACUGGAAUUGGAGACCAGACGGGAUAGCGAAACAGGACGGACUCUCUUUCUCCCCGCAGCGAGAAAAAAAGAGGCCUGUAGAAAGCAUUGCCUCCGGACGCUGACGUCCUCGCAGAUGUGUGUAAGUCACAGCGGCAUGUGCAAAUGUGUGUGUG